ACAUAGAGUACUAAUUUGAUUAAGGAAAAAUCAUGUUCAUUCAUAAUUUUCAUUUCAAAAGUGUAUUCAUUCCUUCUGCAAAUCCAUACUGUCAUGCCUAUUCCCCAAUAUCGUCAACGCGGAUAGUUCGUUAGUCGAAAAUACUGAAUAAUUAAACAAACCAAAUGGAAUCACUGGUGGUUCUUUUUUCCACUCCGCUAAACUGUCAUCUCAAACAAAAACAAAUGGAUCAUACAACUGCUAUGAAUACAUUCGACUCAUUUGCUUCCAUCAAUCGGUAAGUGAGAAAGAUGAUUUCUCCCAUCACCACAGUGCGGAUUUCCACUUCUAUCACAGCGUCCAACAACAUCCGUUUUCCUGCAGCAUCAACAGCAGCAGCAGCAGAAUUUGACCAUGGUAUGGUAUUGCGAAGAACUUUCCCCAUUAGAGGUUCCGUGCUUCGCGCACAUUCAAAAAUCCUCUUCAGACACGAAAACUCAACGACAAGGAGGUAUUUAUCAACUUGCUCAGCUGAAUUACCACCCCGGAGGAACCCGAAUGCACUGAUUCCGUUGUAUAGAAGAAUGAAAACAGGCGAGGUAAGCGAACGUAAUCGCAUGAUAUUUUAAUGUUCGCAUUUUUAUCCGGAUCAUACAACUGCUAUGAAUACAUCCGACUCAAUCAAUCGGCGAGUGAGAAAGAUGAUUUCCCUCAUCACCACAUUGCUUAUUUCCACUUCUGUCACACCUGCCAACAGUAUCAGCUUUCCCGCAGCAGUAUCCUUUAAGACCAGGGUGCUAUUCCGGGGAACAGUAUCAGGACCUGGCCAUCGAUAGUAUUUCGAGCAAUUUUUCCCAUCGGAGAUCCCGUGCUUCACGCACAUUGCAGAAUCCUCCACAUAUCUGUGUCAUCAAGGGCAAGGAGGUAUUCAUCAAUGUACUCAGUCGGAUUUGAAUCGUCAAUCCAGACAACCCGGAUGCACCGAUUCCAUUAUAUACAUUAUUAUUUUUAUUAUACAUGGAUUUUUAUUAUUUUUUUCAAUAAAAUGAUUAAAAUCGAUCAAUGUAUUUCCUUUUCAUUUUCAAUAACAAACCAAUACAAACAAGCAGCAAGCAGUGCUGGAAGCAGCGCUGCAAGCAGGUCGACGCCUUGCACAUGUUGGCGAAAAAGUGGCGUCAAGUUGUUCGAUGAAUGCAUAUGAAAGGUCGAUAACUCGAUUGCAAGGUGGCAGCAUUUGAGGUCGAUUGUUGACAUUUCAUCGACCCG